rnacentral:rRNA from 1 species
GACGAACGCUGGCGGCGUGCUUAACACAUGCAAGUCGAGCGGAAAGGCCCUUCGGGGUACUCGAGCGGCGAACGGGUGAGUAACACGUGAGUAACCUGCCCCAGACUUUGGGAUAACCCUCGGAAACGGGGGCUAAUACCGGAUACGACACAGCUUCGCAUGGGGUCUGUGUGGAAAGUUUUUCGGUUUGGGAUGGGCUCGCGGCCUAUCAGCUUGUUGGUGGGGUGAUGGCCUACCAAGGCGACGACGGGUAGCCGGCCUGAGAGGGCGACCGGCCACACUGGGACUGAGACACGGCCCAGACGCCUACGGGAGGCAGCAGUGGGGAAUAUUGCACAAUGGGCGGAAGCCUGAUUCAGCGACGCCGCGUGAGGGAUGACGGCCUUCGGGUGGUAAACCUCUUUCAGCAGGGACGAAGCGUAAGUGACGGUACCUGCAGAAGAAGCGCCGGCCAACUACGUG